rnacentral:rRNA from 1 species
UACGGAGGGUGCAAGCGUUGUCCGGAAUCACUGGGCGUAAAGGGCGCGUAGGUGGCGACGCAAGUCAACGGUGAAAGCUCGACGCUCAACGUCGAGUCGGCCGUCGAUACUGCAUCGCUGGAGCACUGUAGAGGCAGAUGGAAUUCCGGGUGUAGCGGUGGAAUGCGUAGAGAUCCGGAAGAACACCGGUGGCGAAGGCGGUC